UACAGAGGAGCCAAGCGUUGUCCGGAUUGGCUGGGCGUAAAGCGCACGCAGGCGGUCGCGCGCGUGGGGUGUGAAAUCUGGCCGCUUAACGGCCAGGCGCCAUCCCAUACGGCGCGACUGGAGUGAUGCAGAGGUCGAUGGAAUUGCCGGUGUAGUGGUGAAAUGCGUAGAGAUCGGCAGGAACACCCAGGGGGAAACCAGUCGACUGGGCAUCUACUGACGCUGAGGUGCGAGAGCGUGGGGAGCGAACAGG
rnacentral:rRNA from 1 species